rnacentral:rRNA from 1 species
UGCCAGCCGCCGCGGUAAUACGAAGGUCCCAAGCGUUGUUCGGAUUUACUGGGCGUAAAGAGUACGUAGGCGGCGGGGUAAGUCAGAUGUGAAAGCCCGGGGCUCAACCUCGGAACUGCAUCCGAUACUGCCUUGCUAGAGUAAUGGAGGGGCAUCUGGAAUUCACGGUGUAGCAGUGAAAUGCGUAGAUAUCGUGAGGAACACUAGUGGCGAAGGCGAGAUGCUGGACAUUUACUGACGCUGAGGUACGAAGGCCAGGGUAGCGAAAAGGAUUAGAUA